UACGGGGGAGCAAGCGUUGUUCGGAUUUACUGGGCGUAAAGGCGCGUAGGCGGCCACCGCAAGUCGGUUGUGAAAUCUCUGGGCUUAACCCAGAAAGGUCAACCGAUACUGCGGGGCUAGAGUGCAGAAGGGGCAACUGGAAUUCUCGGUGUAGCGGUGAAAUGCGUAGAGUAUCGAGAGGAACACCUGCGGCGAAGGCGGGUUGCUGGGCUGACACUGACGCUGAUGCGCGAAAGCUAGGGGAGCGAACGGG
rnacentral:rRNA from 1 species